UCGGCAGGAGUCUGGUGUCCUCUGCCGCCCACGCCUGGGAUAACGCUGACCGGUGGGGCCUCAGCGAAAGUGUCCGUGGAAGCCGUUCCCUGGAGCCCGUGAAGAAGGUCCUGGACGCCCUGGCGGAGGCGGUGAAGAAGUGGGAGGCGCCGGAGGAGGGCGUCGUUAGGCAUCGCGCUUCUGCUCUUCACUGAAAAUUAAGAAUUCUUUACAUCUGCCAGUUAUCAUGAUCCCUUGAAAACAUUUGAAAAAAAAAGAAAAUAUAAUGUGCUUGCAGGCAAGCACUAUGUAUUUAUUGAAUAAAUAUUUAUUAUAAA